AAACGACUCUCGGCAACGGAUAUCUCGGCUCUCGCAUCGAUGAAGAACGUAGCGAAAUGCGAUACUUGGUGUGAAUUGCAGAAUCCCGUGAACCAUCGAGUCUUUGAACGCAAGUUGCGCCCGAAGCCAUUCGGCCGAGGGCACGUCCGCCUGGGUGUCACGC
rnacentral:rRNA from 1 species